GAUGAACGCUGGCGGCGUGCCUAAUACAUGCAAGUCGAGCGAACAGACGAGGAGCUUGCUCCUCUGACGUUAGCGGCGGACGGGUGAGUAACACGUGGAUAACCUACCUAUAAGACUGGGAUAACUUCGGGAAACCGGAGCUAAUACCGGAUAAUAUAUUGAACCGCAUGGUUCAAUAGUGAAAGACGGUUUUGCUGUCACUUAUAGAUGGAUCCGCGCCGCAUUAGCUAGUUGGUAAGGUAACGGCUUACCAAGGCAACGAUGCGUAGCCGACCUGAGAGGUGAAUCGGCCACAUGGAAAUGAGAACCGGGCCCGGCCCCCUAGGGGGGGAAGAGGGGGGAAAUUUUCCGAAAGGGGGGAAAGCUUGACGGGGCAAGGCCGCGGGAGUGAUGAGGUUCUUGGGUUCGUAAAACUUUUUUAUGGGGGAAAAAAAAAUGUGUAAGAAAAUUUGCCCUUUUGGAGGGUACCAAAUCAGAAAACCCCGGCUAACUACGU
rnacentral:rRNA from 1 species